rnacentral:misc_RNA from 1 species
ACAAUUGAUUUUUUCAAUAAUUUCCAUAAUUACACAUCAUAGCAAGAACCUCACUACCCAUUAAAAACAUAUCACAAAUCAUAAUGCUAAUUUAACAAAAAAGCAUAUUACAUUAUCCAUUUAACAAAAAAUUUGAAAAGAUAAAAAAAAAUUAAAGUGUUGGAAGUCUGGUACUACUGGUGUGAAGAAUGGAUCAUAGAAAGAGAGAAUAAGAAGGAGAGAAAGAAGA